UACGUAGGGUGCAAGCGUUAAUCGGAAUUACUGGGCGUAAAGCGUGCGCAGGCGGUUUCGUAAGUCUGUCGUGAAAGCCCCGGGCUCAACCUGGGAAUUGCGAUGGAGACUGCGAGGCUAGAGUGUGUCAGAGGGGGGUAGAAUUCCACGUGUAGCAGUGAAAUGCGUAGAUAUGCGGAGGAACACCGAUGGCGAAGGCAAUCCCCUGGGCCUGCACUGACGCUCAUGCACGAAAGCGUGGGGAGCAAACAGG
rnacentral:rRNA from 1 species